GGGAGAACAAAUAUUAUUAUAGUUUGUGCCAAGAAACCGAGUAAAAGAAAGACAUGAAAUGUGCAGCUUAACGUUCAAUUUUACCCUAAUUUAAACAAAUAAAUGUAUUAGGCAUAACUCAUCUCUCAAAUUUCCUAUCUCAUUUUCGUUUGACCUCAAUUUUCAGGAACCAAACAAGGCAUCAAUGAAAAUCAGGAGAGAAAAGAAAAGACAAAAAUAAGAAAAGUACCACAUACCCUCAACUGAUUAGUCACAGUAUCUUCUUGAUUAUAAAAUGUCAGUCU
rnacentral:misc_RNA from 1 species